ensembl:lncRNA MIR646HG MIR646 host gene
GCGGGAAAGCCGAGGCCCGGUGCUGUAUUCUGCCGCCCAUUUUACCCGCGGGGAAGCUGAGGCCCAGUGCUGUUUAAUAUCUUACUCAUGUUCACUUGAUGAGAAAGUGACAGAUCUGAGACAAACCCAGUUCUAGAGGUUAUGACACCAGCCAUGGAAGAGCAGAGAGGCCAAUGAGGUGGGGAGGUUGGAAACAAAAGGCCUUCUCCACCCCAGCUUGACCAACCCAAAAGCUGGAAGGCAAGGAAGACCUAGAAAGGGACCAGCUUGACGAAGCUUCUGCUUUUGUGACUGUCUCCUAAUGACAGAAUUUAAGAGACACCAGAGGAUGGCACAUUUAUACUGAGCUUGCAGUUUCCUAAACAUGAAGAAGAUGAACGGCUCUCAGUUAAGCAGCACGGGUCAGAUAGGAGCUUGAAAUUGAAUAUUUGAGCUGACACGGGAGAGACAUACUUUUGAGAUUCCAAAUACGAUUUCUGUGGAGAAAACAAAAAAGGACUCUGUUUUUAAUUCAAAAGGGAGAAGUGAAAUUCUACCUCACUUUUUUAAAAGAAGAGCCUGGAAUUGGCCUAUCCGUCUUUUUCCCCGUUGGAUCACAGAGCAGAAAGGAAGGUGGGCGUUUGUGUUCUGGGUGUUGUCCACGCUGGACGUGCCAGCAUCUCCCACUGAGCCAGAUGUUCCAGGGCUAAGGCCAGUUUCAUUUGAAGGCACAGCCUUACUAUAUCAUGUGAGAAAACUGUGAUGCGGUCGACUGGCACCUAGCAUUGCCCCCAUCUGGAACAUCUGCAGCCUAGAUCUGUUCUGAUGAAGUAGAAGCCGCAGAUCUUAUCCUGAAACAGGCCAGGUGCAAGUGUCCUCUUAGAAGGGAUCAACCAUGGGAUGCGGCAUUAAGAGAAGAGAGAAGGACAUCCUUACAACUGUGCCUUUCUUUCAACUCAGUCGUGCGCAUUAGGCUUGUAUCAGUUAAAGUGCAGGCAAGAAAUUUCAAGCAGAAAGGGAGUCAGGUGCUCAUAGCAUUGCUGGCAGAAUUGAGAGCAGCGGGAGCCAUGGGAUGGGGGUGCUGCCUGGAAAUCAGGAAACUGGAGAAGCCUGCUGGAACCUGCUGAGGAACCCAUCACUGCAGCAAGAGACUGAUGGUGGACUGCAGGGGCCAGGAAGGUGCAGGAAGCCCCUGCUGCUGCAGGAGAAAGGAUGAAGGAUGGUUAUCUUCCACCUUCCAAAUCUCACAGGAACACCUCUUCUAGGUGGAAUCCAAACCAGAUUCCUUCUGGAAAGGGAUUCUGGAAAGUGUAGUUCUUAUGCUUCCAGCCUCUGAGAUAAGCAAGGACAAUUGCUGGAGGCGAGGGUGUCGCUGAAUACCAAGGAAGGAUAGCAGGUGUAGUUGCCCACAUGGCCACUCAGCAUCCACAUGGACAUCCCACCCAUGUUAAUUUCCAAAGAGCCAUCACAGAAACAUCAUCAUGCUUCCUCACAAAGAAGAAAUGCUCACCUCCACCCCAAUAGAAAGGGUCCAGGUAUCCAUCUCUGAGUGAUGGUCACCCUCCAUAUUCAGUAAAAAACACCCUCGGAUAGACUGUGGUUGAAAGACUAAACCUUUAGGUUAGCCACAGUCAAUAUAUCUUAUAUAAAAUAAGAGAGGCGGGGAGAGCAGGGGAAAGAGAUACUGGGUUAUGUGUGUAAAAACAUACACAAUAAAGCAAACAAGAAACGCU